rnacentral:lncRNA from 1 species
GUAGGCAAAGGAGGGCUACUCAGUGUUUGUGUCAGGGCCGCUGCUGAGCACUGUGGACCCACAGGGAGGAUGAGCAGAGCAGGUCGGUGCUGUGGUCCCUCCUGGCCAGGACACGGAAGCUUCUGGCUCUGAAUUUAAACCCGAAGACAGUCGAGAUCUCAAUGACAGCCAGAGGCUCAGAGGUGGGUCUGUCAGUGCUGGAAGAAAGACGCAGUAAAUAGUUUGCAUGCUGCAGCGUCGUGCUUAAGAAAGGCUUGAGGAGAUCUGCGGAUGAGAAUCUGUUUGCUUUCCUCUAAACGAGGGCAAAUGCAGCAAGUGCAUCAAAGUUUACCCACCAUGGAGCUCCACCUGUGGCAAUUGCUUCCUAAUAUCCAGCCUACACCUCUCCUGGUGCAGCGUGCAUUGGGUAUCCCUGCUCCUGACCCACGCUCACUGUGCUCCUGGCAUUGACCCUCUCAUCCGAGUGCCAGUGGGAAUGGGACACUUGGUGACACGGUUGUGGCAUGUCAAACACAGCUCAGCUCUGGUAGCUUCUCCCACCUUUGACUAAUUGCUGACCUGACAUCUUUCUGAUAGUGACCUUGUUUCAGCGAGUAAUUCAAGUAUCUUUCAGUGUCAGAAAUAAUAAGUGCCACAGUGAGAUGAACAAGCAGAGCUUAAGUUGAGCACAGAUUAAUGGGGUUUUAAUAUUCCUAAUUUAAUCACUCCUUUCUGUCUGAAUGUGUGCAACAUGAUGUAGCAGCUAAUUAUUUUUUUAACCAUGAUGAGGAUCUUUCCUAAUCAUUUUUAUAUUUAACAUGAAUGAAGGGAGGGCAGUGAUUAAUGAGGGAAUAAAUCUCACGAAACAGAAGCAAGCACAUGAUCAGUUAAAAAUACAGCUGUCUGUUUUUUUUCCCCCUCCUCCUUUCCCUGCACAGCACACAGUUCACCAGCUGCACCUUCCCAGCUCAAUAGCUGUCCUCAGCCCUUUGCCCAUCCCUGGGUGGCUCUGCUGGCAUCCCCGUGUGUGAACAUCUCUGUUCAACUCAGUGUUAUUUUUCUUUUGUAAAG